AAAAAUAUAAUCUAAUUAAGAUAUAUCAUUUACAUUGAUAGUAAGAUUAAAAAAAUCUAUUUUUA
rnacentral:tRNA from 1 species